rnacentral:rRNA from 1 species
ACGAAGCUGCUAAAAGGAAGUCUUCGGAUGAAAUUUAGGUAGACUUAGUGGCGGACGGGUGAGUAACGCGUGGAUAACCUGCCUUAUACAGGGGGAUAACGGAGAGAAAUUUCCGCUAAGACCGCAUAAGACCACAGCACCGCAUGGUGCAGGGGUAAAAUAUUUAUAGGUAUAAGAUGGAUCCGCGUCCGAUUAGCUAGUUGGUGAGGUAAAGGCCCACCAAGGCGACGAUCGGUAGCCGGCCUGAGAGGGUGAACGGCCACAUUGGGACUGAGACACGGCCCAAACUCCUACGGGAGGCAGCAGUGGGGAAUAUUGGACAAUGGGGGAAACCCUGAUCCAGCGACGCCGCGUGAGUGAAGAAGUAUUUCGGUAUGUAAAGCUCUAUCAGCAGGGAAGAAAAUGACGGUACCUGACUAAGAAGCCCCGGCUAACUACGUGCCAGCAGCCGCGGUAAUACGUAGGGGGCAAGCGUUAUCCGGAUUUACUGGGUGUAAAGGGAGCGCAGACGGCAAUGCAAGUCUGAAGUGAAAGGCGUGGGCUCAACCCAUGAACUGCUUUGGAAACUGUAUAGCUUGAGUGUCGGAGGGGUAAGCGGAAUUCCUAGUGUAGCGGUGAAAUGCGUAGAUAUUAGGAGGAACACCGGAGGCGAAGGCGGCUUACUGGACGACAACUGACGUUGAGGCUCGAAGGCGUGGGGAGCAAACAGGAUUAGAUAGCCCUGGUAGUCCACGCAGUAAACGAUGAAUACUUGGUGUCGGGGAGGUAAACUCUUCGGUGCCGCAAGCAAACGC